ACAAAGAAGUAAAAAAUUUACAUUUAGUUUCGACCUAAUAAUAAGAUUAAAAUCUCAUGUU
rnacentral:tRNA from 1 species